AGCUGAUGCAGUUGAUGGUUUUCCUCCCAGUGCCAUCGCGUCAGCUGUUCCCCUCUGAAGGUUAUUGACUAAAGGGCGCUGGUUUCCCAGCGGCCCUAUUUU
rnacentral:sRNA from 1 species